CCUACGGGAGGCAGCAGUGGGGAAUUUUGGACAAUGGGCGCAAGCCUGAUCCAGCAAUGCCGCGUGAGUGAAGAAGGCCUUCGGGUUGUAAAGCUCUUUUGUCAGGGAAGAAACGGUCUACUCUAAUACAGUGGGCUAAUGACGGUACCUGAAGAAUAAGCACCGGCUAACUACGUGCCAGCAGCCGCGGUAAUACGUAGGGUGCAAGCGUUAAUCGGAAUUACUGGGCGUAAAGCGUGCGCAGGCGGUUAUAUAAGUCAGAUGUGAAAUCCCCGGGCUCAACCUGGGAACUGCAUUUGAGACUGUAUGGCUAGAGUGUGUCAGAGGGGGGUAGAAUUCCACGUGUAGCAGUGAAAUGCGUAGAUAUGUGGAGGAAUACCGAUGGCGAAGGCAGCCCCCUGGGAUAACACUGACGCUCAUGCACGAAAGCGUGGGGAGCAAACAGGAUUAGAUACCCUGGUAGUCCACGCCCUAAACGAUGUCUACUAGUUGUCGGGACUUAAUUGUCUUGGUAACGCAGCUAACGCGUGAAGUAGACCGCCUGGGGAGUACGGUCGCAAGAUUAAAACUUAAANGAAAUUGACCGGNUGAGAGAGCGACGACGACGACGAGGGAGGAGG
rnacentral:rRNA from 1 species